rnacentral:rRNA from 1 species
GGUUGACCUCGGAUCAGGUAGGGAUACCCGCUGAACUUAAGCAUAUCAAUAAGCGGAGGAAGA